rnacentral:rRNA from 1 species
CGGCACCUAUCUUCGGAUAGAAGCGAGUGGCGAACGGCUGAGUAACACGUGGAGAACCUGCCCCCUCCCCCGGGAUAGCCGCCCGAAAGGACGGGUAAUACCGGAUACCCCGGGGUGCCGCAUGGCACCCCGGCUAAAGCCCCGACGGGAGGGGAUGGCUCCGCGGCCCAUCAGGUAGACGGCGGGGCGACGGCCCACCGUGCCGACAACGGGUAGCCGGGUUGAGAGACCGACCGGCCAGAUUGGGACUGAGACACGGCCCAG